rnacentral:rRNA from 1 species
UACGGGGGGGGGCAAGCGUUGUUCGGAAUUACUGGGCGUAAAGGGCUCGUAGGCGGUUUGUCGCGUCGGGAGUGAAAUCCACUGGCUUAACUGGUGGCUUGCUUUCGAUACGGGCAGACUGGAGGUAUGCAGGGGAGAACGGAAUUCCUGGUGUAGCGGUGAAAUGCGCAGAUAUCAGGAGGAACACCGGUGGCGAAGGCGGUUCUCUGGGCAUGUCCUGACGCUGAGGAGCGAAAGUGUGGGGAGCGAACAGG